rnacentral:lncRNA from 1 species
CAAGGAUCUGGCACAUUCUCUGCCCAGCCUUUCCCCAUCACUGCUGCAGCAUGCCGCAGCCUGUGCUCUGGAUGGCCCUGGCUCCUCUGCUAGCCGCCCUCAAUGCAGGGAUGGUCACCUUCUCUCCCUGCAGUGGGGCCCACUGCACCAUCCUGUGCCUCAUCACCCGCUCGCCAGGCCAGCACUCCGUGGAGAGAAGCUGCGUGCCAUGCCCCUUUGGCUUUUGGUGUUUGGGUGGCAGGACAACUCUGCAGCCAUGCCCCACCUGCCGAACCUGCGCUGAGCUCCCAGGACUCAUAGACAGCAAGGAGUGCCAGUGGUGCCUGACUAGACAGAAGCCAAGCUCGCAGAAUGCUGGCUACGUCUUCUGCCCCCUGGGAUACUUCUUCACAGACAGAGGCCCCAGCUGCCAGCCCUUCCCCACAGGUAGGUGAGAGCGGGCUGGGGACCUGAAUGACGUUUGGGAAGAACUGGCACAGGUUGGCCCAGGAGAGUGCUGGGGGUCCAUAGUGCUCGGAUUGGCCUGUGUGCCCCGGGGAGUCCAGGUGGUUUCUGAGGGGCGGAGUUCAGCUAUCCCCGAGCCCCAAACACACACCCAAAGGGCUGUGGGGAGAAUGAAAUGAGACAACUCAGAGGGAUGGAAGCAUGCAGAGGGGUGAAGGGCGUGAGCAUCAGAAGAUGGUCCAAGAGCUGGCUCUGCUCUUUAACUGG